rnacentral:lncRNA from 1 species
GAGGAUUGCAGCCUCCCAGGAACAUCAAAUAAUAGAUAACUUUUUCUCAUAUUUUCAGGAAGAAAAAAAUCCAUGGAGAAUAUAUUUGUUUUAACAAGAUCACAGGUUUGCUGCAUAAUGAGACUGCUCUGAGGCUUACCUGGCAAGAAAUGCCUUGUUUGGUACGUCUUCUUUUCUUCCCUAGAUUCCCCUAUCAAUUCUUCAGCUAGACAGAACUUAAUCACCCAUUUUCUUACUGGUGGGCAAUGUGUUUUAGCAGAGACCUUCCUCCACCCUAGAGACAAUGGUAAUCUGCACUGUCUUAUCAGUGUUGUGACUUUGUGGCUGAAAUGCCAGUUUCAAUGGCUUGAGUGAAUAAUUUGGGCAAAAUUUGGUUGGUUGUUUUUUGGUUUCUUUGUUUGUUUGCUUGUUGUUAUUAUUUCAGUCUUUUCAUCCUUCCUUCAAUUGACCAUCUUGAAAGAAGAGAAAUCCCUUCUUAGACCCUACUGAGGAGCAGAGAAUGACUUGGGGAGUGCACAACAAUUCUUUCUAGUCUAAUUGUAGAUGUAUUAUACUCCAGCCUGAAAAGUAAUUGCAAGUCCUUGAGGCUCAUAAGGGAUUUGAAUCCUUUGCUGACUAAGGAUGCAAUUUAAAUAAAUGCACAUCUUUAAGCAGGUCAUAAAGCAUCAUUAAGCCAGAGGAGACAAGGAAGCCUCACUUCUGAUUUUGAAUGGAAGGACUCCUGACUACCUUUGAGCACUCGUCUGAUAUCCAGUAAGCAACUAUCAAACUUGCCAAAUGCAACAAGCUUUGCUGAACCCCUCCCAUAGUCACUGCUGUUUGCAGUGAAUUCAGCAGAGUCAAGGGGAAAGAACAUGGUGGAUUCCUGGCUCAAAGAUUUUUAAAUUACCUCAAUGCCAGCAUACCCAGUGCAGUGUAAGGACAUACUGCUAUAAUACUGACACCACCUCUGUGGCUCUGAGAUGUCCACGAGCCAUGGAGCCAUCACAAGUGAGCUUUCCAUGUUCUGAUGAUAAACCAGUGAUGGUGUUUUCAGAUGUAAUUUCUGGACAUGUUUAAUGCAUUUACAUAUUUACCUAUUCUUAUUUCAAGCUGUCUGAGCUAGCCCAAAGACCUCGGGUAACUUCAUGACAAAAGAAACAGUGCUUGCAUGUUAGGGAAGGUAGAGCUGCAACUGUGCCUUCAGCUUUCCUUGUGCUCAGUCUAAAUUGAUUCAGUGGUGUUUCUGUAACCAAUAUCUGAAGAGGACUGUGGAUAGGUAUUGGCUUUGUGAUAAGCAUCUAGAUCAUUAAGCUGUCUCUUUCCCAGGGAUUUAUGCAUACCAAAGAUGCUCUUGGCUAGCAGUAUCUUGACCCUAAGUUCUUCCAGAAACAAAAGUUCCAUGAUGCUUUCUGUGUGUUUCUGCAUCUUAUGAUUUGUGAGCCAGUCAGUCAGU